rnacentral:rRNA from 1 species
UACGUAGGGGGCAAGCGUUGUCCGGAAUUAUUGGGCGUAAAGAGCGUGUAGGCGGUCCGGUAAGUCAGCUGUGAAAGUCAAGGGCUCAACCCUUGAAUGCCGGUUGAUACUGUCGGGCUAGAGUCCGGAAGAGGCGAGUGGAAUUCCCGGUGUAGCGGUGAAAUGCGCAGAUAUCGGGAGGAACACCAAUGGCGAAGGCAGGUCUCUGGGCCGAUACUGACGCUGAGGAGCGAAAGCGUGGGGAGCGAACAGG